rnacentral:rRNA from 1 species
UACGUGUGGAGCAAGCGUUGUUCGGAAUUACUGGGCUUAAAGGGUGCGUAGGCGGUCUUGUAAGUCAGGGGUGAAAGUCAACGGCCCAACCGUUGAAUUGCCUUUGAUACUGCAGGACUUGAGUGUGCUAGGGGGAAGCGGAACGUUUGGUGUAGCGGUGAAAUGCGUAGAGAUCGGAAGGAACAUCAAUGGCGAAGGCAACAAUCUGGGGUUAAACUGACACUGAGGGACGAAAGUGUGGGGAGCAAACAGG